rnacentral:lncRNA from 1 species
UAUAAUAGGUAAAAUAGUCAAAAUAUGGGUACAGCAGUCAUCAUUGUGUCACAAUCUCGAAACAACACAUAUUCAACAGAAAAGCACAAAAAGCAUCUAUUAAAUUAAAAAAAAAAAAAAAACACAUUCAUUGCUUCGUGUGUUUUGUCGUUCAAAAUAUAUACAAAACAAAAGAUACUUUCACAUGGGAAAGGUGGUAUACAGGGUUAAACAAUUAAAUUAAAUUAAAUUAAAAAACAAUAAUAUAACAAUGGCCUUUUUUGUGCCUUAGUACAGCAUGUACAGGACAAAGCAAAAAUGGUGGGUUCAACCUGGUUUUGUAGCUAGCAAAUCCUCGCACUUUUAUGGCAAUUAAAUAUAACACUAAAACUACACAAAUUGAUGACAGGAAUACAACACAAAUGCAAGAACAUUGACUAUACGCUAAUGUAAAUUAUACUAUGUUACCAUUACAAUAAUGACAUUAACUAUACGCCGAUGUAAACUAUACUAUGUUACCAUUACAAUAAUGACAUUAACUAUACGCUGAUGUAAAUUAUACUAUGUUACCAUUACAAUAAUGACAUUAACUAUACGCCGAUGUAAACUAUACUAUGUUAUCAUUACAAUAAUGACAUUAACUAUACGCUGAUGUAAAUUAUACUAUGUUAUCAUUACAAUCCUGACACAAUGUAUAUUGAGUAAUGCUCCAAAUUAAAUAAAAAACAUUGGAAAAUAAUAAAAAUGUUAAUGUAGUCGAAUAAGAAUUCAAAUAGUAUUCCUUUUCUUUAAAACUUAAUAAAACUAUGAGGAUUUUAAUGACAUUGUUUAUGAGGAUUGUGAGAAGUGUGACCUGUUGAACAAAUAUUUUGGUUUGAUGUAUGAAUAAAGGCAACA